AGCAGUAGCCGCGGUAAUACGAAGGGGGCUAGCGUUGUUCGGAUUUACUGGGCGUAAAGGGCGCGUAGGCGGACUGAUAAGUCAGGGGUGAAAUCCCAAGGCUCAACCUUGGAACUGCCUUUGAUACUGUUUGUCUUGAGUUCGAGAGAGGUAAGUGGAACUGCGAGUGUAGAGGUGAAAUUCGUAGAUAUUCGCAAGAACACCAGUGGCGAAGGCGGCUUACUGGCUCGAAACUGACGCUGAGGCGCGAAAGCGUGGGGAGCAAACAGGAUUAGAUACCCCAGUAGUCCCUGUCUCUUAUAC
rnacentral:rRNA from 1 species